rnacentral:rRNA from 1 species
UACGUAGGGGGCGAGCGUUGUUCGGAAUUACUGGGCGUAAAGAGUGUGUAGGCGGUGCUCUAAGUUCGGUGUGAAAUCUCCCGGCUUAACUGGGAGGGUGCGCCGGAAACUGGAGUGCUCGAGCGUGGGAGAGGAAAGCGGAAUUCCUGGUGUAGCGGUGAAAUGCGUAGAUAUCAGGAGGAACACCUGCGGUGUAGACGGCUUUCUGGACCAUUGCUGACGCUGAGACACGAAAGCGUGGGUAGCAAACAGG